UACAGAGGUCUCAAGCGUUGUUCGGAUUCAUUGGGCGUAAAGGGUGCGUAGGCGGUCUGUCGCGUCUGUUGUGAAAACCCGGGGCUCAACCCCGGGCCUGCAUUCGAUACGGGCAGACUAGAGUUCGGUAGGGGAGUCUGGAAUUCCUGGUGUAGCGGUGAAAUGCGCAGAUAUCAGGAGGAACACCGGUGGCGAAGGCGGGACUCUGGGCCGAUACUGACGCUGAGGAGCGAAAGCGUGGGGAGCGAACAGG
rnacentral:rRNA from 1 species